UCCUUCCUGUUCGUUUGGUCUCUGUUACGGUGCGGGAGGGCGCCGGCGAGGUGGUACAGGUCGCUGAUGGACGGUAACACCCACGGCCCCGGCGGGAGUCUGCUGGUAGGGUGCACGGCCGUCCGCCGUCGUUCGGGUCGCCAGCCUACAGCCCGACUCUCUCUCUACGUGUGGCUGGUCUUGGCUGUUCGGCUAGCCGUGAUUUCUUUCGUUCUUCAUCUGGUGUUUUAUGGUGCCGCUCCGCACGCGUGUCGUGGUUCUUUUUUGGCUGCUCGGCGAUUUGGUCAGCCAUUACUCUCUCACACAAUUUGUUGUGCAGCAGAUUUGAUGUAGGAUUCGCCAGUGACCGUACGAGUACGCUGCGGAGUUGCUGCCACUGCCGCCACUACCUGGAUUCGCUCGCUAGCGUUUGGAACCGCCCCAUGGAUUUGUCUCGCUGGUGCUUGGAGUCUCCGACGCCGCCAUCAAGGGAGAAAUAGACAUGGCAUCUGCGGGUCAAUCUUCAGUUAAGAGGCUGGGAAGCACCAAAUAUAUAUCAUUCGGUUAGAAAAAGUCGUGGGAGGAUUGAGUAAAUUGAUGAUCAUUGAUUCAUCAAGGAGACGAGAACUUGAUGAAAAGAACAUUGGAUGCAGCAUAUGGGGCAGUAUUUUGAUCUCAUCUGAUGCAUGUAUUUAUUCUUUGUCUUUAUAACAUGGUAUUUUAUUAAUUUUUUAUCUAUACUUGUCGUAUCGCCGUAUUGCUGAAUUGUUGUAUCCCAUAUCGUCGUACCCCUAUCGCCGCAUCCAUGUUGCCGUAUCGCUGCUUCAUAGAGGAAAAUAAAGAUGCUGAACUUCUGAAUGAUGUUGGCAUGGUGCCCAGAAGAUAAAUAUUGGGUUGUUAAAAUUAUUGUUCGGCUGGGAUCUUUAAACGAGGAUUCUUACCUUCAUACAUAUCCUACACCUUUUGUUGCUUUGUACGCAUUGAUAAUUUGUACGCUUUGUUCAAGGUGUUGAAAUUCAAGCCCUAAUUCAUAAUCAUCAAUUAAACAUAACACAUAGAUUUAUCAUGAGUAUGAAAUUCUGUUAUUUUUAAAGACCAUACUUAGGAACCAAAGUAUGACAGCAACGGCUUCGCGGCAACCGUUUUACUAUCGCGGCAAACUGAGAUUGAAGAAGUGCAAAUAUAAAUUAAUGGAUAUGUAGAUAUAUCAUUCUCUACUUCUGAAUGAAAUGGAAAACAAUAAUUUGAUAUCUUUAACAAGAAGAAUCUAAUAAGAAAAAUAACAUUCUACUCAAAAAGAAAAUGCCCCAGCUGCCACUAUUCAGUCAGCCUAGGAGUAAAGUUAUACCAAGCAAUGCCGCAUCAACACGCUCUUUCCCUCCAGAAAGAGUUUACAAGACGGACAAGAAUUUUAACCAAGAUUUGUGACAACUUCUCAUAAAUUCUGCCGCUUCGCAUUUCCCGCAAUUGUGCAGGAAUGAACAACUCAAUAACACCAGAGAAGUGUAGAAUCGUCAAGUCUAAGCCACACUAACUUUGUAUAUCUAUGUAACAUGUUUAGCUUAGUUUAUUAGUAGUGUGUCUCUUUUUUCUCAUGUAAUUUUCUGUUCGCGUGAUACACCAUUGUCUAUAUCAAAUGGGCAUGCUCUUUAUUACCCCAAAAAUGUUUUAUCUAUUAAAUUUCUUCAACCCUACCACUAAAUGUGUGAAACAACAUUAAAUUUACGAAUCAAACAAGUAAGUACACAUAAAUAUACAACAAGGUGCGACGUGGCGUAGCGCACACAAUGUGUGAAAAGCCAAUUCCUUCUCCCUUGUGUUCUCAUUUUUCUUGUAAAAUUAUCUAAGACAAAAGAAAGAAAAACCAAUCCUCCUUUGUGCUCCUCUUACUCUUUUCAAGAACUAAAUUAGGAGCUUAUAGGAAAAUGAUGCAUCUACAGAUAAAUACUGCACAAAAUUAACUCCAUCUAUACCCAUUUCUCUUGUAGAGAAAUAUCUAAGCAUGAUUAUUAGUGCUAUAUUGUGAGAAGGAAGGACUUGCUACAUUAUUUUCAGAGGACUCAUCAGGCAAUCUGGUUUUCCAGUAUCUGUUUCAGAUUUGUGUACUUAGCUAUUGCUGCGACACAAGGAACUUGGUGAAAUGGUUAUAAUAUAAGCAAGGUCCAUCACCUUUUCUCCAAAAAUGUAAGUUGUGGCCAAAUGUAUUGCUUACAGUUACCUUUCCUCCAAAAACAUUUAUACUUUCAUGUCAGUUGCUGCUUUAGCCUGGCCUUCUAGACGGUGAUGAUUUUCAGAUAUUUUGCAUGGUGUUUUCUAGAUUUGUCUUUCUCGAAGGAUCCCGUCAGAUUGUAUCAGAUCGUGCGCCGCUUUGCCGCUAAAUAAAUCAUAUAAGGCUUCCCUAUCAUGAUUCCCCCGAAUCUCACACUCCCGGCCUUCCAGCCCCAUCACCCAAACCCAGCCGGACCAUCAACAUCUCAGUUCUAAGAAGAGAACAAGAGCUUCCCAAUUCUGCGCCAAGUAUCACUCAUAAAAGGCCUCAUUAUCAUGAGUCCCCUGAAUCUCGCACUACCGACCUCCCAGCCCCAUCAUCGAAACCCAGCCGGACGAUCAACAUCUUAGUUCUAAGAAGAGAGCUAGAGCUUCUCAAUUUUGCGUCCAAUAUCUACUAUAUUACUAUGUGUCGUAAAUCUCAAAUGUAUGUACCAACUAGAUGGAUUUCUUGUAUGAAAUACUUUGUCACAAUUUCCUACCUAUGUACCAACUAGAUGUAGCAUGUUCUUGUAUGAACUACCUAGCCACAAAAGAAGUCUUGGGUCAACUUACCAAAUAUUACAAAAAAAACUAAAUAUCUAAUUAGUCCAUGUGGCGCGGCGUGCCGCCGCGCACUACCCGCUAGUAUGUAGCUAGCUAGCCAGCUAGAUCCGUCCAAGGUCUAAAGUUUCAGAUGAAUAAAUUGGGUGUUACUAGUACGCACCUCGGAAAAUAACGAGUGGUCACAUGCUCCUAGGCACCUCAGAGAUCCAAUGGUUAUGUGCGUAGCCACGUAUAUGUGUGCGUAAUUAUAAUACUCAUGAGGGGAUUUUCUCCAAACUUUCUGAAGGCCCGUCCAUACCCGUUGGAUCAGAAAUUCAACCGCGCGGGUGCCUCAAGAGCAUGUGGGCACCUCACAUCUUUGUGAAGAUGUUGUAUCACUCAUGUGACACUUACAUGAGAGUUAUUUGUUCCGACGAAAGUCUAUAAGAGCAAGUAUAAUAAGAUGAUGUAAGUGGUUAUAUGGAUUUAAAUAUUAUGUGUUUGCUGAGUUGAAAGAGAGAGAGAGAGAAGAAAAGCAGGUUGUAGAUUUAUGGCCGCUGUAGCACGGGCUUCAGGAAGCUUUGUGAUAGUGUAAGGUGAGAGCAAGUACAAUAGUGGGCUAUAAGCCGGCUUACAUGGCACUUUGGCAAUUUAGAGAGAGAUAUGGAAAAAAUGAAGGAGUGGGCUCUUAGAGCAAGUACAAUAAAAUGAUGUAGGCGGGCUCUAAGACUUUAAAUAUUAUGUUUUGCUGAGAUGGAAAAAAGAGAUGUGGUGAGAGAAGAGAAGUGGGCUACUAGUUAAGAGUCAGGUGCAGCACAUGCUCGUAGGGACUUUAUGAAAGAGUGUGGUGGGCCAUAUAUCAAUAAAGCAGUACAUAUUUAUAUUCAACUAUUGUAUUUGCCAGCUAUAAUCUUGGCUAUACAUGAUGUGGCAACAUCAUACAACCAGCAGAUGGUUGUACUAUUAGAGCAUGGUUAAUAAUAUAGAUAGUUGAUGGCUAUAUAGAACUGCCAUGUCAUCUAUAGACACUCAUACAAUAAUAUGGGCUAUAAGGUUGGCUAUUACAUUUGUGUGUUUCCAUCUUCUCUCUAUCUCUUUCUUCACAUUUAUUGUAUUUGUUUAGAAAUGCGUAUAUAGCUAGGCUCUUGCAUGAAAAUCCACUUCCUUUAUAUUUUCAUAUCUCUCUCCUCAACAUAAGCAAAAGUGCCAUGUAAGCGUGCUAUAAGCCCAUUAUUGUACUUGCUCAUGUUCUUAUGCAAGAGUCCGCCUCUAAGCGUGCUCCUAUGUGAAAACAUUUAGUGAGAGAAAAAAGAUAGAGAGAAAGUGAAAAAAAAGUUGUAACCUUAUAGCUAACCUUACAGUCGGCCCUAUUGUAUGUGUAAUUAAUAAUGUUAACUCUUAAUGACAUGGCAUGCUCAUAUAGCUAACAGCUGCAGGGCGGAUCUAGUGGGUGUGCCGUGGGUGCCAUAGCACCCCCUUCAAAAUUAUAAAAUAAAAUUUAAUAUAUACUUAACCUAUCAAGUUGUCGCUAUUUUCAGACUAUUUGUUGAGAUUAUGAUGAUGUUUAGUGUAAAUUAUGAAAUGUAGCACCCCAAGCCUGUGAUUCUAGAUCCGCCACUGAACAACUGGCUAUACUAUUAACCAUGCAUGAGUCAUAUAGAUAACAUGAUAACAUGCUAUAGCCAGCAGUUGGCUAUAUUGUUGACCAUGCUCUAAAGCUUCUCAAUCUGAUGAGGUGGCAAUUCAUGACAAGCAAUCAAACAAACGCCUUAUUCCUCAACCCAGACACAUAAAAAAGAAAUGUAUGCAUAGCAAGCUUGGCUUGAGCAUGGGAAACCUGGCUCAACGGCCCUUGCCUGAAAGCCCGAUAUCAUGGUUGGGCUUCCGAAGCCUAUAAAACGCCCAAACAAGAUAACAACUAUAUGUGUCUCAAAAAAGACAGCAACUAUAUUUUUCUAAGAAAUUAGUUACUUCCUUUGAUUCAUAUUACUCAUCGUUGAUAAAAAAGUAUAUCAAUAUAUUUAAUUAAAUGCCUUAAUAUAAUUAAAUUAAACAAGAAACAUUGUUCAUAUUAAGCCCAGCCCGAAUUCCGCCCGGCUCAAAGUAUGGUCAUAGGAUGAGUACUUGAGAGCUCUGAUUUUCAACAUUGAUUUAGAUGUUUCUCCAAAACAGGAAUGUGACAGGAGUUUUGAUUUUAGCUUUUUUUUUUCCUCUUUCUUUCUCUCAUUAGAUUAGCUGUACAUAUUGUAUUUUGCUUCUUUUAUUAAUAGAAAAUUAGCUGUUCAGAAAAAGUAUGGGCAUGUCUAUGUGAGGGCAGCUAGCUAGCGCGGACAGUGCAGCCAGUGCUAGUGCCGACGCCACACGAAUCUCAAGACCUUAAUAGGGACUGAAGGGAGAAGAAACCGAAUCCAACAAGGAAGGUGAGAUGGCGCCAUCAAGGGAUUGCGGAUACAAUAUUAUUGCGAGUUGGCUUUCAAGCUUCACUAAUUAUUUCCAUGGCGCUUUGCUGCAUCACGCUUAUGGCCAAAGUGAAUUCACUAAUCAUUGCACAUGAGAGCUGUUGCAUCACACAUGUGCACCACGUACAAAAGGUAGUAAUGUAACCAAUAACCAUUGUGUUACGCGUGCACUAACAUGCCGGUCAAGUACGCGCCGAGAACUGCACAACAUUUGUGAGAAAUUUGUGCUCGAGGCAGGCAAGCGAAUAACUGACGCGGCUAACGGCAGGUGCAGUUUAGGUUGUAUUUUUAAUAUAUAUUUUUUUGCGUGAGAAA